GACGAACGCUGGCGGCGUGCCUAAUACAUGCAAGUCGAGCGAAGUUUUUCUGGUGCUUGCACUAGAAAAACUUAGCGGCGAACGGGUGAGUAACACGUAAAGAACCUGCCUCAUAGACGGGGACAACUAUUGGAAACGAUAGCUAAUACCGGAUAACAGCAUAAAUCGCAUGAUAUAUGUUUAAAAGUUGGUUUCGGCUAACACUAUGAGAUGGCUUUGCGGUGCAUUAGCUAGUUGGUGGGGUAAAGGCCUACCAAGGCGACGAUGCAUAGCCGACCUGAGAGGGUGAUCGGCCACACUGGGGCUGAGACACGGCCCAGACUCCUACGGGAGGCAGCAGUAGGGAAUCUUCCGCAAUGGGCGAAAGCCUGACGGAGCAACGCCGCGUGAGUGAAGAAGGAUUUCGGUUCGUAAAGCUCUGUUGUUAGGGAAGAAUGAUUGUAUAGUAA
rnacentral:rRNA from 1 species